rnacentral:lncRNA from 1 species
AUUGAUUGGCUAAUGGAAUUUGGGGUUGGAUUGUUACUACCGUUUUUGCUUCACAUCUUCAGACCACCAACAAGUUGUCCUAAUCUCAACUAUCAAGAUUCAUGGCUUUAAACUAGUAGUAGCACUUUCCUGUUCAAGCCAACAAACAGUACUAAGGUUUUUGUUUUUUUGCAAUCUUGAAAUUAUACUAUGUUGAAGAAGAGAUCUGAUUCUGGUUCUCUCUUUGGUAAUGGGCAGUCUCAAAUGCUCAGUUUCUCUUCCCCCAACUCUCACCCUCUAGGGAUGCAUCAUCAAGUUGCAACUCCUCACUCUUACACUACAGGUCUCUCUCACUCUCU